rnacentral:rRNA from 1 species
CAUUAGCUAGUUGGUGAGGUAACGGCUCACCAAGGCCACGAUGCAUAGCCGACCUGAGAGGGUGAUCGGCCACAUUGGGACUGAGACACGGCCCAAACUCCUACGGGAGGCAGCAGUAGGGAAUCUUCGGCAAUGGACGAAAGUCUGACCGAGCAACGCCGCGUGAGUGAAGAAGGUUUUCGGAUCGUAAAACUCUGUUGUUAGAGAAGAACAAGGAUGAGAGUAACUGUUCAUCCCUUGACGGUAUCUAACCAGAAAGCCACGGCUAACUACGUGCCAGCAGCCGCGGUAAUACGUAGGUGGCAAGCGUUGUCCGGAUUUAUUGGGCGUAAAGCGAGCGCAGGCGGUUUCUUAAGUCUGAUGUGAAAGCCCCCGGCUCAACCGGGGAGGGUCAUUGGAAACUGGGAGACUUGAGUGCAGAAGAGGAGAGUGGAAUUCCAUGUGUAGCGGUGAAAUGCGUAGAUAUAUGGAGGAACACCAGUGGCGAAGGCGGCUCUCUGGUCUGUAACUGACGCUGAGGCUCGAAAGCGUGGGGAGCAAACAGGAUUAGAUACCCUGGUAGUCCACGCCGUAAACGAUGAGUGCUAAGUGUUGGAGGGUUUCCGCCCUUCAGUGCUGCAGCUAACGCAUUAAGCACUCCGCCUGGGGAGUACGACCGCAAGGUUGAAAC